rnacentral:misc_RNA from 1 species
CUCUUCAUCUUGAAGCAGCCAAGGCCUUGGAGCAAAUCGACGGCAUGGUUUUGCCCGGAUGCCUUCCCUGGCAGAAAAUAAGAUGUGAGCGACUGUUUCACAGCUCUGUUUCCUGUCCUGCAGCAGUUUAUCAUGUCAUCAGGAACCAGCUGGAUUUUUUACUUGCUAGCCUCCGCCAAAGAAAGGUUGGAAAAUGCGAGCUACAGAGAAAUGAUAACGGUUCCUAUACAGUUAGGAUAUCUGCUACUGCCACCAAAGUUGUGGCAGAUUUGAGAAGGCCACUGGAGCAACUUAUGAAAGGCAAGAUUGUAG